rnacentral:rRNA from 1 species
GGCGAACGCUGGCGGCGUGCUUAACACAUGCAAGUCGAACGGAAAGGCCCUGCUUUUGUGGGGUGCUCGAGUGGCGAACGGGUGAGUAACACGUGAGUAACCUGCCCUUGACUUUGGGAUAACUUCAGGAAACUGGGGCUAAUACCGGAUAGGAGCUCCUGCUGCAUGGUGGGGGUUGGAAAGUUUCGGCGGUUGGGGAUGGACUCGCGGCUUAUCAGCUUGUUGGUGGGGUAGUGGCUUACCAAGGCUUUGACGGGUAGCCGGCCUGAGAGGGUGACCGGCCACAUUGGGACUGAGAUACGGACCAGACUCCUACGGGAGGCAGCAGUGGGGAAUAUUGCACAAUGGGCGGAAGCCUGAUGCAGAAACGCCGCGUGCGGGAUGACGGCCUUCGGGUUGUAAACCGCUUUCGCCUGUGACGAAGCGUGAGUGACGGUAAUGGGUAAAGAAGCACCGGCUAACUACGUG